rnacentral:rRNA from 1 species
AUUGAACGCUGGCGGCAGGCCUAACACAUGCAAGUCGAACGGUAACAGGAAACAGCUUGCUGUUUCGCUGACGAGUGGCGGACGGGUGAGUAAUGUCUGAAACUGCCUGAUGGCGGGGGAUAACUACUGGAAACGGUAGCUAAUACCGCAUAACGUCGCAAGACCAAAGAGGGGGACCUUCGGGCCUCUUGCCAUCGGAUGUGCCCAGAUGGGAUUAGCUAGUAGGUGGGGUAACGGCUCACCUAGGCGGCGAUCCCUAGCUGGUCUGAGAGGAUGACCAGCCACACUGGAACUGAGACACGGUCCAGACUCCUACGGGAGGCAGCAGUGGGGAAUAUUGCACAAUGGGCGCAAGCCUGAUGCAGCCAUGCCGCGUGUAUGAAGAAGGCCUUCGGGUUGUAAAGUACUUUCAGCGGGGAUGAAGGGAGUAAAGUUAAUACCUUUGCUCAUUGACGUUACCCGCAGAAGAAGCACCGGCUAACUCCGUG